AAGACAGCAGGCUAAUGUUCCUAUCCACCCAGUAAGACCAGCAGGCUAAUGUUCCUAUCCACCCAAUAAGACCAGCAGGCUAAUGUUCCUAUCCACCCAAUAAGACCAGCAGGCUAAUGUUCCUAUCCACCCAGUAAGACCAGCAGGACUAAUGUUCCUAUCCACCCAAUAAGACAGAAAGUCAGUACAGUAAGACCAGCAGGCUCAUGUUCCU
rnacentral:lncRNA from 1 species